rnacentral:rRNA from 1 species
UACCAGCACCCCGAGUGGUCGGGACGUUUAUUGGGCCUAAAGCAUCCGUAGUCGGUUCUACAAGUCUUCCGUUAAAUCCACCUGCUUAACAGAUGGGCUGCGGAAGAUACUAUGGAGCUAGGAGGCGGGAGAGGCAAGCGGUACUCGAUGGGUAGGGGUAAAAUCCGUUGAUCCAUUGAAGACCACCAGUGGCGAAGGCGGCUUGCCAGAACGCGCUCGACGGUGAGGGAUGAAAGCUGGGGGAGCAAACCGG